GGAUGGGGCUCGGCUCGGCUGCUUCGGCGGUGAGCCGUGCCACGGAAUCGGGUGCUCACAGUGGGCCAUUUUUGGUAAGCAGAACUGGCGAUGCGGGAUGAACCGGAAGCCGGGUUACGGUGCCCAACUGCGCGCUAACCUAGAACCCACAAAGGGUGUUGGUCGAUUAAGACAGCAGGACGGUGGUCAUGGAAGUCGAAA
rnacentral:ncRNA from 1 species